UACGAAGGGGGCUAGCGUUGCUCGGAAUCACUGGGCGUAAAGCGCACGUAGGCGGCUUUUUAAGUCAGGGGUGAAAUCCUGGAGCUCAACUCCAGAACUGCCUUUGAUACUGGGGAUCUCGAGUCCGGAAGAGGUAAGUGGAACUCCGAGUGUAGAGGUGAAAUUCGUAGAUAUUCGGAAGAACACCAGUGGCGAAGGCGGCUUACUGGUCCGGUACUGACGCUGAGGUGCGAAAGCGUGGGGAGCAAACAGG
rnacentral:rRNA from 1 species